rnacentral:tRNA from 1 species
GCGGGUGUGGUGGAAUUGGUAGACGCGCCGGACUCAAAAUCCGGUUCCGAGAGGAGUGUCGGUUCGAGCCCGACCACCCGCACCA